rnacentral:tRNA from 1 species
GCUGGGAUAGCCAAGCGGUAAGGCGACAGGCUCGAGACCUGUUGACUAAUUUAGUCGCGAGGGUUCAAAUCCCUCUCCCAGCGCCA